GACGAACGCUGGCGGCGUGCCUAAUACAUGCAAGUCGAGCGAAGUUUUUCUGGUGCUUGCACCGGAAAAACUUAGCGGCGAACGGGUGAGUAACACGUAAAGAACCUGCCUCAUAGACUGGGACAGCUAUUGGAAACGAUAGCUAAUACCGGAUAACAGCAUUAACUGCAUGGUUGAUGUUUAAAAGUUGGUUUUGCUAACACUAUGAGAUGGCUUUGCGGUGCAUUAGCUAGUUGGUGGGGUAAAGGCCUACCAAGGCGACGAUGCAUAGCCGACCUGAGAGGGUGAUCGGCCACACUGGGACUGAGACACGGCCCAGACUCCUACGGGAGGCAGCAGUAGGGAAUCUUCCGCAAUGGGCGAAAGCCUGACGGAGCAACGCCGCGUGAGUGAAGAAGGAUUUCGGUUCGUAAAGCUCUGUUGUUAGGGAAGAAUGAUUGUGUAGUAACUAUACACAGUAGAGACGGUACCUAACCAGAAAGCCACGGCUAACUACGUG
rnacentral:rRNA from 1 species